rnacentral:lncRNA from 1 species
AGCUGGUCUAAGGUGGUUUUGCUGGGUGGGGAUUUGUGUCAGAAUGACUUGCAGAACCGAGCCCUCAGUUUGCAAACAUAAAUGAUGACUUCUGGUCAGCAAUGGCUGAGGAUUUCACCUGGCGGGCAGUGAACUUCAGUUCGUAAAAAGAAACUUCAAAGGUGAGCUUCGUGACGCUUUGAACGAGGAAAACAUUGGAGUUCUCCAUCAAGGCCUUGAGCCAAGCCAGAUUCCAUCUGUGUGCUCUGCUCUACUUGAGUCGUCGUGUCCAUGUGCCAUUACUAAGGAUGGAUGAUGGAGUAAUGCCAAGCCUUCAACUUCACAUUUUGAACUUCUCAAUAAUAAAGACAGGGGGGAUGGUUUUAGAAAGCAAAAGUCCGUGUUCUUAAGCAUCAUAUGGCUCUUGGGGUUGUGCUUUAGUUAGAUGUUACUGGUGUAAUGGGUACUGUCUGCAGCACAGGCAGGCCCUGCUUGUAAUUCUGCCCAACCCUGCUUGUUUUCACCAUUGUUCAAUUACACAAGGCCUUUCCAUAAGGACAUCAGUCCAAAUAACUAUCUUAUCCUCAAAUUGAAGGUAUCGUGUCAUCCGUGAGUGGCAUCAAUC